GGACGCUUGCUAUGUGACGCCACUUGGAAGGGACCCACCUACAGUGGCGGAAGUGGAGUAAGACAUCAUGUUGCCUCAAGUUUAAUUGGAAAUCGCGUGCCUUGUGAAGAAUGGACACUCAGUAGAUGCUUAUUGAUGAACCUGUUGGUUGAGGAUAACUCACUAACUUUUCUGAGCUUUGUUGGAAAAACUAGACAGGGGUCUCACUAUGUGAUGCAGGAUGAUCUCAAACUCCCUGGCCUCAAGCGAUCCUCCUGCCUUGGUCUCCUAAAAGUGCUGGGAUUACAGCAGGUCGCUGUAUCUCUAUGCAUUACAGAAAAUGGCUAGUUAAAAACUUGUCAAGAGAUGGGGUUUUACUAUGUUGGAGAAGCUGGUCUCAAACUCCUGGGCUCAAGUCAUCCUCCCGCCUCAGCCUCCCAAAGUGCUGAGAUUACAGACGUUGAGGGCUCAUGACACUCCUGGCGGCCAUAUACACAGAGGUCAGGGAGAGAAAGGGACCUGUGGGCCAGCACCCUUUUUGGGUCCAGAGAGUUAUCCAAACAAGUUUCCAGCAGGGAGUUUAAUUGGUGGAUUUAAAGCAAGCAAGCAUGAGUUCCAGGGGGCCACACUG
rnacentral:lncRNA from 1 species